rnacentral:sRNA from 1 species
UCCUAGCCCAGAUAGCAGCCAAAAUCCCAGCUCGUUUUUUAACGAGACGGAUUGUAUCGAAUAGCUGGACACGAG